rnacentral:rRNA from 1 species
GACGAACCGUCCGAACGUUAUUCGGAAUCACUGGGCUUAAAGGGUGCGUAGGCGGCGCGGAAAGUUGGGUGUGAAAUCCCUCGGCUCAACCGAGGAACUGCGCCCAAAACUACCGUGCUCGAGGGAGAUAGAGGAGAGCGGAACUUAGGGUGGAGCGGUGAAAUGCGUUGAUAUCCUAAGGAACACCGGUGGCGAAAGCGGCUCUCUGGAUCUCUUCUGACGCUGAGGCACGAAAGCUAGGGUAGCGAACGGG